rnacentral:rRNA from 1 species
GCCCAUUUCCCCGCCUCAACAACCUCGCUAUACUACCAAUCAACCCCCCCCUAAACCAUUCGCCCUGCUAAGUAUACGAGAUAGAACAGCACCAAUCGAGCGCCAUAGCCCAAAGUACCGCAAGGGAACUAUGAAAGACCCCCAACAGCCCAAAGCAAACAACAGCAGACCUAAGCCCCCGUACCUUUUGCAUCAUGAUUUAGCAAGUACAGACAAAUUAAGAGACCUGAAACUUGUACCCCCGAACCCAGACGAGCUACCCUGAAGCAAUCAAUAGGAUUUAAUUCAUCUCUGUGACAAAAGAGUGAUACGACUCCAGGGUAGAGGUGAAAUGCCUACCGCGCCUGGCGAUAGCUGGUUGCUCACUAAACAAAUUUAAGUUUAACUCUAGUAUACCUACGGCCACCCAAACGGCCUAAAGACAGACCUAGAAGAUACACAACUGGGGCACAGCCCAGUUGUAACUGGAUACAACCAGCACUAGAGGGCCCAACUAUAACACUUCCCCCGUAGACCUUAAGGCCGCCAACAAGAAAAAGUGCGUCAAAGCACCAAACACCUAAUACCCACCGACACCCUCCCCCCCUAAAACAAACUGAGCCAUUCUGCCGUACAAACAGAAAAGAUACUGCUAAAACUAGUAAUUUACCCAGGCCAUACGCCUCACAUGCACGAUCUUACACCACCAAUUAUUACCAGACCACCAACCAACCGCUGACAAGAAAACUUGCCAUCCCACCUGUUACCCCAACACAGGAGUGCAUAUAACUUAACGUACUAAAGCCCCAAAAGGAACUCGGCCAGCCCACGUACCCCGCCUGUUUACCAAAAACAUCGCCUUUAGCCCACCAAGUAUUAAAGGUCCUGCCUGCCCAGUGAGCCCCCCUUCAACGGCCGCGGUAUCUUAACCGUGCAAAGGUAGCGUAAUCACUUGCCCUGUAAUUAGGGGCCCGUAUGAACGGCCAACCGAGGGUACUACUGUCUCCUGGGGCCCUACAAUGAAACUGAGCUCCUAGUACAAACGCUAGGAUUCCACCAUAAGACGAGAAGACCCCGUGGAGCUUGCAAAUUACAACCACUAAAACACCCCCUACCCCCCUACAACAGGACAUUAACAGCCAAAGCCCCACCUAGUGGUAAUUUUGAGUUGGGGCAACUACGGAACAAAACAAAACUUCCACGAAACAGGGCCCAACCGCCCCUUCAAGGCCAACAUGCCACCAAGCACCCACCCCCCCCCGGACCCAGUACAACUGAUUAACGAACCAAGUUACCCCGGGGAUAACAGCGCCAUCCUCUUCUAGAGUCCCUAUCAACAAGAGGGCUUACGACCUCGAUGUUGGAUCAGGACCCCCAGGUGGUGCAGCAGCUACCAAAGAGUUCGUUUGUUCAACGAUUAAAGUCCUACGUGAUCUGAGUUCAGACCGGAGUAAUCCAGGUCGGUUUCUAUCUAUGUAAUUAUCUUUCUUAGUACGAAAGGACCAGAAAGAUGGUGCCUACACCACCAAAGCACGCACCAACCCAACAUACUGCACACAAAUAAAGUCGGCCCCACCACCCAGGGACCCGAUUAAAGGUAACUUU